CGCGUAGGUGGUCAAGUCAGUCAGAUGUGAAAGCCCCGGGCUCAACCUGGGAAUUGCACCUGAUACUGCUUGGCUAGAGUACGGUAGAGGGAAGUGGAAUUUCCGGUGUAGCGGUGAAAUGCGUAGAGAUCGGAAGGAACACCAGUGGCGAAGGCGACUUCCUGGACUGAUACUGACACUGAGGUGCGAAAGCGUGGGGAGCAAACA
rnacentral:rRNA from 1 species